rnacentral:rRNA from 1 species
GCCUAAAGCGUCCGUAGCCGGCUCUGUUAGUUUUCGGUUAAAUCCAUAUGCUCAACAUAUGGGCCGCCGGGAAUACUACAAAGCUAGGGAGUGGGAGAGGUAGACGGUACUCCGUAGGAAGGGGUAAAAUCCUUUGAUCUAUGGAUGACCACCAGUGGCGAAGGCGGUCUACCAGAACACGUUCGACGGUGAGGGAUGAAAGCUGGGGGAGCAAACCGGAUUAGAUACCCGGGUAGUCCCAGCUGUAAACUAUGCAAACUCAGUGAUGCAUUGGCUUGUGGCCAGUGCAGUGCCGCAGAGAAGUCGUUAAGUUUGCCGCCUGGGAAGUACGUACGCAAGUAUGAAACUUAAAGGAAUUGGCGGGGGAGCACCACAAGGGGUGAAGCCUGCGGUUCAAUUGGAGUCAACGCCAGAAAUCUUACCCGGAGAGACAGCAGAAUGAAGGUCAAGUUGAAGCCUUUACCAGACAAGCUGAGAAGUGGUGCAUGGCCGUCGCCAGCUCGUGCCGUGAGGUGUCCUGUUAAGUCAGGUAACGAGCGAGAUCCUUGCCUCUAGUUGCCACCAUUACUCUCAGGAGUAGUGGGGCGAAUUAGCGGGACUGCCGUAGUUAAUACGGAGGAAGGAGAGGGCCACGGCAGGUCAGUAUGCCCCGAA